rnacentral:lncRNA from 1 species
UCCAGCUUUGUGCAGGUGGAUAUCUUAUUAAUUCAUAUUUUCAGGCAACAGAAAAACUGUUUGUUAGAAAGGUUAAGGUGAGCCUAGAAAGACUGAUGAAAACCACAUUCUGUAUGUCUGCCAUAGACUUACAGUGAGAGUUUGUUCUGGAACACUUUCCAACAACUGGGUCAAUGAGUUCUACUAUAAACUUCAUGAGGAGAGAAGGAAGACAGAUCAUAAAGGGUAAUUGGUUUCCCACUAUCUAUUUAUCUACAGCAGAUGUCAAGAGAAUACACCUGCUGAAGGAAGACAAGGUCAGGUCGGCUGGAAAAGAGGAAGCAAGAGAAAUUUUGGGGAAAACCAUUGUCAACGGUUUACGGGCGUUCGGCCUGUAUUGCAAUAACACAUCAAAGUAAACUUUACACAGAAGGAAAAAUGACCUAAAGAGACAUAAGUAAAACCAUUUUGGCUUUGAUGGAGUACUGCAUUUUUACAUUUGUUAUUAUUAUCAUCCUUGGAGUUGUAGAUAUUAAAGAAAAAAACACCUUUUUCAAGGCAGUGAUUAUUGCUAUGAUUUCUAUGCCUCAUUUAUGAAGAACUAUAUUUUCCUUGGUCAGUUUAUUCUCCUCCUUUUGGUAAUCCUUCAUACAACCUAUAUAAUGGCUUCGUUUUCCACUGUGUUAUGUCUUACGACUGUUUCAAGUUGCUCAAAUGUGAUCAAGCCCUUUCUCUACAUCUCUGAUAUUUUAAAUGUGAAUGCAUUCAUUUCUGAGCAUUGUUAAUUUCUAGAUUUAAAUGAUACUUUUUGCACAGGACGUGUGAUGGUUUUAUUAAGAAGUGCUGUUUAUGAUGAUGUUUGCGUUCAUUUGGAAUGGCUGUGCUCUAUUUUCUCAUACAUAUUUUAUUUAUCCCUAAAUACUACGUCAUCAAAGGCUUCUCAGACAAGAGGUUCUGUUUGACUGCUACUUGUUUCAAAGCUCAGUAACCCUAAUGCUUAAUUGAGUAAAGUUGUAGGUAGAGAGUGUAUAUUGGAUUCCAUGAGCAUUAGGAAAAAGAAAAGAAAAAAACCGGUUCACUUUUCAAGUGGAGAUUUUUUUUUAGAUUAUGUAUUACAGAUUCAUAUAAUGAUACAUUUAUAUAGCUGCAUCGGAAUAGAUAUCCAUUCUCACCAAGCAAAAAGAUAUUCCAAGUUAGUAUCUGUAGGCUUUCUC